AUCUUAUAUUUUCAACAGAUGCGUAAAAACUUAGCUGCCACCCUGGGACGUAAGGAUUAUUAAGGGAUCCGUGGUUGUAAAGUCUCCUAACGAUGAUCGUAGUGGACGUAGGAAUGUCCUGCCGGUAAACCCAAAACAACGAGAGCAUUGCUCGGAAACGGAAGACCGGGAGCAGAUUGCCAGCAUUCAUUAAAUGAAAAUUGUUCAUAUUUUGUAUGGUUUAUUUAAGAUCAAAAAAAAUGUAGUUAGUGAAGUUGUGUAUAUGUUUUGGAAAUAAUUAAAAACAAA